rnacentral:rRNA from 1 species
GAGUUUGAUCCUGGCUCAGGACGAACGCUGGCGGCGCGCCUAACACAUGCAAGUCGAACGAGAGAGAGGGAGCUUGCUUCCUCAAUCGAGUGGCGAACGGGUGAGUAACGCGUGAGGAACCUGCCUCAAAGAGGGGGACAACAGUUGGAAACGACUGCUAAUACCGCAUAAGCCCACGACCCGGCAUCGGGAAGAGGGAAAAGGAGCAAUCCGCUUUGAGAUGGCCUCGCGUCCGAUUAGCUAGUUGGUGAGGUAACGGCCUACCAAGGCGACGAUCCAUAGCCGGCCUGAGAGGGUGAACGGCCACAUUGGGACUGAGACACGGCCCAGACUCCUACGGGAGGCAGCAGUGGGGAAUAUUGCACAAUGGGGGAAACCCUGAUGCAGCGACGCCGCGUGAAGGAAGAAGUAUCUCGGUAUGUAAACUUCUAUCAGCAGGGAAGAUAGUGACGGUACCUGACUAAGAAGCCCCGGCUAACUACGUGCCAGCCGCCGCGGUAAUAC